rnacentral:lncRNA from 1 species
GAGCCUAAGAGAAAGGGGGAGAUCCCAUUAGUCUAGAACUUAUAAAAACUUUCCACCAGGGUCUAGCAGACAAGUCCAACUGAAAUAUAGUUUAGUCCACACUACGAGUCUCCAUAAGGCCUAAUCAAUGAAGCCUAUCCUCAUAAGCAGUCAAAAACUCAAAUGUAUCCUCUUUAGGAGCACUAUAAAAUCUAGGCGGAGCCAACCUUAAGAAUCCACCCAAUGUCUUCUACUACUUAGCAGACAUAACUAGCUGG